ACGGGUGAGUAAUGCAUCGGAACAUGUCCAUGUCGUGGGGGAUAGCCCGGCGAAAGCCGGAUUAAUACCGCAUACGCCCGAGAGGGGAAAGUGGGGGACCGCAAGGCCUCACGCGAUUGGGUUGGCCGAUGUCCGAUUAGCUAGUUGGCGGGGUAAGAGCCCACCAAGGCGAUGAUCGGUAGCUGGUCUGAGAGGAUGAUCAGCCACACUGGGACUGAGACACGGCCCAGACUCCUACGGGAGGCAGCAGUGGGGAAUUUUGGACAAUGGGGGCAACCCUGAUCCAGCCAUUCCGCGUGAGUGAAGAAGGCCUUCGGGUUGUAAAGCUCUUUUGUCCGGAACGAAACGGUUACGGUGAAUACCCGUGACUACUGACGGUACCGGAAGAAUAAGCACCGGCUAACUACGUGCCAGCAGCCGCGGUAAUACGUAGGGUGCGAGCGUUAAUCGGAAUUACUGGGCGUAAAGCGUGCGCAGGCGGUUUUGUAAGCCAGAUGUGAAAUCCCCGGGCUCAACCUGGGAAUGGCAUUUGGGACUGCAAGGCUGGAGUGUGGCAGAGGAGACUGGAAUUCCUGGUGUAGCAGUGA
rnacentral:rRNA from 1 species